GAUGAACGCUGGCGGUGUGCCUAAUACAUGCAAGUCGUACGCAUUCCCGUUUUUUGUAUUGAAGGUGCUUACACCUGAUUGAUAAAACAUCGGAAUGAGUGGCGGACGGGUGAGUAACACGUGGGUAACCUGCCCAGAAGUGGGGGAUAACAUUUGGAAACAGAUGCUAAUACCGCAUAAUAGAUAGAACCACAUGGUUCUAUUUUUGAAAGAUGGCCUUUGUGCUAUC
rnacentral:rRNA from 1 species